rnacentral:rRNA from 1 species
GACGAACGCUGGCGGCGUGCCUAAUACAUGCAAGUUGAGCGAUGAAGAUUGGUGCUUGCACCAAUUUGAAGAGCAGCGAACGGGUGAGUAACGCGUGGGGAAUCUGCCUUUGAGCGGGGGACAACAUUUGGAAACGAAUGCUAAUACCGCAUAAUAACUUUAAACAUAAGUUUUAAGUUUGAAAGAUGCAAUUGCAUCACUCAAAGAUGAUCCCGCGUUGUAUUAGCUAGUUGGUGAGGUAAAGGCUCACCAAGGCGAUGAUACAUAGCCGACCUGAGAGGGUGAUCGGCCACAGUGGGACUGAGACACGGCCCAAACUCCUACGGGAGGCAGCAGUAGGGAAUCUUCGGCAAUGGACGAAAGUCUGACCGAGCAACGCCGCGUGAGGGAAGAAGGUUUUCGGAUCGUAAAACUCUGUUGGUAGAGAAGAACGUUGGUGAGAGUGGAAAGCUCAUCAAGUGACGGUAACUACCCAGAAAGGGACGGCUAACUACGUG